rnacentral:rRNA from 1 species
UACAGAGGUCCCAAGCGUUGUUCGGAUUCACUGGGCGUAAAGGGUGCGUAGGCGGUCGGGUAAGUCUGAUGUGAAAUCUCGCAGCUUAACUGUGAAACUGCAUUGGAUACUAUCCGACUCGAGGAAUGGAGGGGAGACUGGAAUUCUCGGUGUAGCAGUGAAAUGCGUAGAUAUCGAGAGGAACACCAGUGGCGAAGGCGGAUCUCUGGGCCAUUACUGACGCUGAGGAGCGAAAGCGUGGGGAGCGAACAGG